AUUGAACGCUGGCGGCAGGCCUAACACAUGCAAGUCGAGCGAGCGGCGGACGGGUGAGUAAUGUAUGGGGACUGCCCGAUAGAGGGGGAUAACUACUGGAAACGGUGGCUAAUACCGCAUACUAUCGGAUAACCCAUAUGGGAUUAGCUAGUAGGUGGGGUAAAGGCUCACCUCGGCGACGAUCUCUAGCUGGUCUGAGAGGAUGACCAGCCACACUGGGACGUAGACACGGUCCAGACUCCUACGGGGGCAGCAGUGGGGAAUAUUGCACAAUGGGCGCAAGCCUGAUGCAGCCAUGCCGCGUGUAUGAAGAAGGCCUUAGGGUUGUAAAGUACUUUCGGUAGCGAGGCGUUAACGACAGAAGAAGCACCGGCUAACUCCGUGCCAGCCGCCGCGGUAAUAC
rnacentral:rRNA from 1 species